rnacentral:rRNA from 1 species
AGUCGAACGGUAGCACAGAGAGCUUGCUCUCGGGUGACGAGUGGCGGACGGGUGAGUAAUGUCUGGGAAACUGCCUGAUGGAGGGGGAUAACUACUGGAAACGGUAGCUAAUACCGCAUAACGUCGCAAGACCAAAGAGGGGGACCUUCGGGCCUCUUGCCAUCAGAUGUGCCCAGAUGGGAUUAGCUAGUAGGUGGGGUAACGGCUCACCUAGGCGACGAUCCCUAGCUGGUCUGAGAGGAUGACCAGCCACACUGGAACUGAGACACGGUCCAGACUCCUACGGGAGGCAGCAGUGGGGAAUAUUGCACAAUGGGCGCAAGCCUGAUGCAGCCAUGCCGCGUGUAUGAAGAAGGCCUUCGGGUUGUAAAGUACUUUCAGCGGGGAGGAAGGUGUUGUGGUUAAUAACCGCAGCAAUUGACGUUACCCGCAGAAGAAGCACCGGCUAACUCCGUGCCAGCAGCCGCGGUAAUACGGAGGGUGCAAGCGUUAAUCGGAAUUACUGGGCGUAAAGCGCACGCAGGCGGUCUGUCAAGUCGGAUGUGAAAUCCCCGGGCUCAACCUGGGAACUGCAUUCGAAACUGGCAGGCUAGAGUCUUGUAGAGGGGGGUAGAAUUCCAGGUGUAGCGGUGAAAUGCGUAGAGAUCUGGAGGAAUAC